GUCACCAGCUAAGGAGCCAUAUUCUGAGCUUAGUGACCAGAGGGCCACUACAUCAGAGGCACCUUGGACCAGAUCCCACCGCACUCAGGUCUCUCAAGCACCUUCCUCUGAGCCUCAGGUGUGCCUCCCAGCCUACAUUGUGAUUCCAGCAGUGCAAGGAGUGCACAAGACAAGAGCCCAGGUAGCAUUGACCUGCCCAUCAACAGACUAGAGGCUUGGUCCUUUAAGGAUUGCAGUUCUCACAAAUGAGUGGAGGAAGCUAGGAGAGGUGGACUGGAGGCAGAGGUUGAAAAGGCCUUUGCCCUUUAGCCUUUGUUUGGGCACGUUGCUCACUCAGAGCUGUCUAUGGAGCUUCAAGCGCUGCCCCUUCACUGAACUGGAACAGGGCAAAGGCAAGGACAUGGUGUUUGGUGCUGCUUCACCAGCACUUUCCCAGGUGGGUGGGAUCAAGUUUCACAGGUGGGUGGGACCACCCACCCAUCAAUCACUGGGUGGCAUGAUGACACCCAAUGAUUGGCAGGUGGAUAGCCUUACCCAUGUCAAAGUUGGCCUACAGGAUGGGAGGAGAUAAGGAUCUGGCCCACGGGGAUGGGGAUGUUCCUGCAUCCACCUUAAAUAAAAGGGCUAGAGAUCAAUUAAUUUUUAUUGAAAACUAGAAAUUUAUAGACUGGACCUGAAAGAUAUUUGGAAAGUUAGCUCCUUUCUCUGGUGGCUGAAGCCUUGAGCUGUUGUAAUAAGCAGUAAUAUCCAUUUCCUGGAAGUGUUUGAGUUUUGCAUGUUUUAUCACAAACUGUAAUCCCAUAUCCUGCUUUAUAACAUGAGAUAGGGUAGUUCUAAUGUUUAGGCCAGCCUUUGGGUUGCAACCGAGCCAAAGUUAAACUUGUUACACACCAUUGAUAGCCAUUUGAGAGAGUUAACAUGUACUUAACCCUCUUGAUGACGGUAUCAGAAAAUUAAUGUGUUUUAUUUACUUAGUCAACUGAGGGGCAGCUUACUAUAUAAGAAAUAUCUCAAAGUGGUUUGCAAUUAGGGGUCAAGGAUUCUAAAUCAGCAAGGAGACAAGGACUCUAGAACAUACUGUAGGCUCAAUGCAUAUAUACAAAUUAUAUAAGUAGUCAACAAAUAUAAUUAUUUAAUAAAUACUCGUAUUUACAAUUGCAAAUUUAAAAGCUGGAGUUUAAAUAUAUAUACACGCAGGCUAUAAAAUUAUACAAAUAACAAGCAGUUCUAUCCAGAGAUCAAUCAUCAAAAAAUACUGUUUUUCAGUCUCUGAAACAUGCUACAGAUAAUAAUAAUAUUAAUAAUUACUUACUUUAUUAAUUAAAUUAAUUAAAUACCCUUCAUCUGUAGAUCUCAGGGCAGUUCACAACAUAAUUACAAUAUGAAAAACACAAAAUACAUAAUAAAAAUAAGAACAGAAGCAGACUAAUAACCCGCCCUCUCACAACACAUUUAAAUGGGCAUUGGAUGUCAGUCAGCUAAAGACCUGGUUGAAAUGGAAAGUUUUUGCUUGGCGCCUAAAGGUGAAGGUGUCAGCUGAACCUCCCUGGGGGCUCCACAAAUGGGGAGCUAGAGCUUCCCAGAUGGCAAAAGGAGAAGGUUCCAAAGAACACCUUUCCCAACACUGACCCACACAGUCAUCAGGAUCGUUGGAUGAGACUUGGUUGACUGGGCCUCAACUUGCAGUCUGCCAACUAGCAGCAACACAGAAGUGGUCCUUCUCCAUGGUAACACCUAUUUUAUUAUCCAGUGUGGGGAACCUUUAUCAGCCCAACGGCCACAUUUUCUUCUGGACAAUGUUCUGGGAACACAUGCAAGUGGCAGGAGGAGCCAGAAGCAAAAGUGAGUGGAGUUAAUGUGAAUUUGUACAAUAGGUCAGUUUCUACACAUGUGAACACACC
rnacentral:lncRNA from 1 species